rnacentral:rRNA from 1 species
CGGAGGAGCAUGUGGUUUAAUUCGAUGAUACGCGAGGAACCUUACCUGGGCUCGAACGUAAGAUGACUGUAGGUGAAAGCUUACAUCUCUUCGGAGCAUUUUACGAGGUGCUGCAUGGUUGUCGUCAGCUCGUGCCGUGAGGUGUCAGGUUAAGUCCCAUAACGAGCGCAACCCUACCUUUAGUUGCCAUCAGGUAAUGCUGGGGACUCUAAAGGAACUGCCUACGCAAGUAGUGAGGAAGGCGGGGAUGACGUCAAAUCAGCACGGCCCUUACGUCCAGGGCUACACACGUGCUACAAUGGCCGAUACAGAGGGCAGCUACCUGGUGACAGGAUGCAAAUCUCCAAAGUCGGUCUCAGUUCGGAUCGGAGUCUGCAACCCGACUCCGUGAAGUUGGAUUCGCUAGUAAUCGCGCAUCAGCCAUGGCGCGGUGAAUACGUUCCCGGGCCUU